rnacentral:tRNA from 1 species
GACUUAGUGGUGUAGUGGUUAUCACGCUUGUCUCACACACAAGAGGUCCCCAGUUCGAACCUGGGCUGAGUCA